AUACGGAGGCUCCGAGCGUUAUCCGGAUUUAUUGGGUUUAAAGGGUGCGCAGGCGGCCAUUUAAGUCAGCGGUUAAAUCGUGGGGCUCAACCCCAUUCUGCCGUUGAUACUGGGUGGCUUGAUUGCGGUCGAGGUUGGCGGAAUUAGUUGUGUAGCGGUGAAAUGCAUAGAUAUGACGAAGAACACCGAUUGCGUAGGCAGCUGACCAGACCGCAAAUGACGCUCAUGCACGAAAGUGCGGGGAUCGAACAGGAUUAGAUACCCUGGUAGUCCGCACAGUAAACGAUGAAUACUUGUUUUCGGCGAUAUAAUGUCGGAGGCAAAGCGAAAGCGAUAAGUAUUCCACCUGGGGAGUACGCCGGCAACGGUGAAACUCAAAGGAAUUGACGGGG
rnacentral:rRNA from 1 species